UACGUAGGGGGCUAGCGUUGUCCGGAAUCAUUGGGCGUAAAGCGCGCGUAGGCGGCCCGGUAAGUCCGCUGUAAAAGUCCAGGGCUCAACCCUGGAACGCCGGUGGAUACUGUCGGGCUAGAGUCCGGAAGAGGCGAGUGGAAUUCCCUGGUGUAGCGGUGAAAUGCGCAGAUAUCAGGAAGAACACCCGUGGCGAAGGCGGCUCUCUGGAACGCAACUGACGCUGAGACGCGAAAGCGUGGGGAGCAAACAGG
rnacentral:rRNA from 1 species